rnacentral:lncRNA from 1 species
CUCAUCAUUACCUGUGCGGGUUAAGACUGUCCAGUUCCCGUAUCUCCACAGACGCUCAGUCCAAUGUCCUCUCAUUAGCCAGGCUGCCUACACAUGGCCCGAGAUCGGCCGAAUCCAGGAGUGCCAGACCCAUCCCCACAGUAGGAAACACCUUUAGAGCACAGGGUGUGUGCACUGUGCACUGCACCUCGAUUGUCCCAGCUGCAACUCGUUUGCCUCACAGGCAGCUUAAAGGCUGUCAAGCAGCUCUCGAAGACUCAUUUUCUGCAAAAUACUCAGAAAACACAGCUUGAGAAGCAAAAUUCAGCUGGAAUUUCACUUGGGUCUGCCUGAAUUUAAUUCUAGCACUUUCACUCAACCUAGCUCUGGAAGUUCCUGCGGUUCUCAUUCCACCAGAGAUGACCCCUGGCCAAAUGCAAGGACGGCUUAACCUGCAGAGGAUGAACACAGAAUUGCAGUGAACCUUUUCAGAAGAUACUGGCCAGACUCUCAGUUGUUCAUCACAUUCAGGCUCACCCAGAGGACUGAAAAACCUCUCCAGCUAAAGGAGCACAGGGCUUCUGGAUCCUGGGCUGCUCCCAUUGCAUGGCUGGUGCAAAAAAUAUCCCAGAACACAGCUGUGCCUAGAUACUCUCCUCAAUAGCAAGGCUGAGACCAGCUCAAAUUCCCUUCACACCUCUGUCCUGGUGGCUGUAGCUCUUGGGAUGUGAGAGAGCAGAGCUUGC